rnacentral:rRNA from 1 species
UACGGAGGGUGCAAGCGUUAUCCGGAUUCAUUGGGUUUAAAGGGUGCGUAGGCGGGCCGGUAAGUCAGUUGUGAAAUCUCCGAGCUUAACUCGGAAACUGCCAUUGAUACUAUUUGUCUUGAAUAUUGUGGAGGUAAGCGGAAUAUGUCAUGUAGCGGUGAAAUGCUUAGAUAUGACAUAGAACACCAAUUGCGAAGGCAGCUUACUACACAAUGAUUGACGCUGAGGCACGAAAGCGUGGGGAUCAAACAGG